AGUGAACGCUGGCGGUAGGCCUAACACAUGCAAGUCGAACGGCAGCACAGUAAGAGCUUGCUCUUACGGGUGGCGAGUGGCGGACGGGUGAGGAAUACAUCGGAAUCUACUUUUUCGUGGGGGAUAACGUAGGGAAACUUACGCUAAUACCGCAUACGACCUACGGGUGAAAGCAGGGGAUCUUCGGACCUUGCGCGAUUGAACGAGCCGAUGUCGGAUUAGCUAGUUGGCGGGGUAAAGGCCCACCAAGGCGACGAUCCGUAGCUGGUCUGAGAGGAUGAUCAGCCACACUGGAACUGAGACACGGUCCAGACUCCUACGGGAGGCAGCAGUGGGGAAUAUUGGACAGUGGGCGCAAGCCUGAUCCAGCCAUACCGCGUGGGUGAAGAAGGCCUUCGGGUUGUAAAGCCCUUUUGUUGGGAAAGAAAAGCAGCAGGUUAAUACCCCGCUGUUCUGACGGUACCCAAAGAAUAAGCACCGGCUAACUUCGU
rnacentral:rRNA from 1 species